GAACCUAAUUUUUCUUUAAGGUCAGGGC
rnacentral:sRNA from 1 species